CAAUAGCGUAUAUUAAAGUUGUUGCAGUUAAAAGCUCGUAGUUGGAUUUGUGGCGUGCGGUGUGUUCCGGGCACUUGUUGUCUGAGUAACCUGCCGUUGCCAUCCUUGGGUGGAACCUGUGUGGCAUUAGGUUGUCGUGCAGGGGAUGCCCAUCAUUUACUGUGAAAAAUUAAGAGUGUUCAAAGCAGGCUUAUGCCGUUGAAUAUAUUAGCAUGGAAUAAUAAGAUAGGACUUGUUUGCUAUUUUGUUGGUUUGCGCAAAUAGGUAAUGAUUAAUAGGGAUAGUUGGGGGCGGUUUAUUAUUCCGUUGUCAGAGGUGGAAAUUACUUUGGUAGUUUACGGUAAGGAUAAACUAACUGCGAAAGACAUUCGUCCAACGGAAGUGUUUUCUAUUAAUUACAAGAACGAAAGUUAAGGGGAGUCGAAGAUGAUCAGAUACCGU
rnacentral:rRNA from 1 species